rnacentral:rRNA from 1 species
UGGGGAAUUUUGGACAAUGGGCGAAAGCCUGAUCCAGCAAUGCCGCGUGUGUGAAGAAGGCCUUCGGGUUGUAAAGCACUUUUGUCCGGAAAGAAAUCCUUGGCUCUAAUACAGUCGGGGGAUGACGGUACCGGAAGAAUAAGCACCGGCUAACUACGUGCCAGCAGCCGCGGUAAUACGUAGGGUGCAAGCGUUAAUCGGAAUUACUGGGCGUAAGCGUGCGCAGGCGGUUUGCUAAGACCGAUGUGAAAUCCCCGGGCUCAACCUGGGAACUGCAUUGGUGACUGGCAGGCUAGAGUAUGGCAGAGGGGGGUAGAAUUCCACGUGUAGCAGUGAAAUGCGUAGAGAUGUGGAGGAAUACCGAUGGCGAAGGCAGCCCCCUGGGCCAAUACUGACGCUCAUGCACGAAAGCGUGGGGAGCAAACAGGAUUAGAUACCCUGGUAGUCCACGCCCUAAACGAUGUCAACUAGUUGUUGGGGAUUCAUUUCCUAGUAACGUAGCUAACGCGUGAAGUUGACCGCCUGGGGAGUACGGUCGCAAGAUU